AAGGCUUCGGUUGUAAACCCUUCAGUUGGGACGAAGCUUCGCCGGUGAACAGCCGGCCGGAGUGACGGUACCUUCACAAGAAGCACCGGCUAACUACGUGC
rnacentral:rRNA from 1 species